UCAAUUUAUUACCAGUUUAAUUCCGAAGAAUCAAUUUCUUUACCCUUCGCUUGAGAUAAUCAAGUUAACCUUCAUUUUCACUUUGCGCUGACUGAGCCGAGGGCUUGAAGUGUAAUUUUACUGUCCAUUUGUAAUAAUCCAACUGAAAGAAGAGAUAACAGAAGGAAACGGGUGCAAAAUUUAUCCGGUGGGGACAUCAUCUCUUAUUUUCGGGGCAAUCCAUUAAUCCACUGGCCUAAAGAAUAUGAUAAUAGUUGAGGAAAGUACACGGCGUCUACCUAAAUGGAUGCUAGGUGUAAGUGUAACUGCUGAUAAUGAUAAUAAUAAUAAGAAGAACAUUACCGACGAGCCUGAAGAUGAAGAAGACGAGGCAAAUCUAGCAAAGAAUUCAAAAUUCGAAGCGAAAAGGAGAAAGAGGAACCAAGUUAAAGACAAUAAAGAACUGGAUGAUGAUACUGACAACGACGUAAACAAGAAAACAAGCAAUCGGCCUGGGAGAAAGCGAAAAUCAAAAAGUAAGGCGGAGAUCAAAGCUGAGUACGAGAAGGAGGAGGGGGAGGAGCUGACCGUUGAAGACUUAGUCAGCAUUGCCGAGGAGUAUGUCAAAGCUGACGAGGAUUCACGGAGAAAACAAACAUCAGGCAGAGAAUGUAAAUUGCAAGGACAACUGCCAGCAACAGCUUCUUCUAAGAAUGAUUUAGAAGAGUCUUUCAUUGUUCUUGAUGGCAAACAUAUAUCAGCUGGUUGUGAAACCACUUCUUAUGGUUCAGCUAUGAAUUUAGUUAGCGAAGAAAGUCUCAUUUCCUCAAGUAGGACAGGGGAUCCUGCUCAUGACAUGUUGGAUUUAUUUUUGGGUCCCUUGCUUAAGAAGCCAAUGGAGAAAGAGAAGAGGUCUGCAUUUACUACAAUGGAUGCUGAUUUUACCGUCGUGUUGAAAAAGAAAGGUCACGAUGAUUUUGGAGACGAAAAGGUGCCUCCAAUGAAGAAGAAGAGCAGCCUUAAAGACAAGGUAUCCUUAUUGCUUGACUGAUUAAAGAGUCCAAAGCAGAUAUGUUGAGAUGCUACUGUGAUCCUCUCAAUCUGGUUCCAUCAAGCAAGCAAUUUCUGGACACUUCCAUCUCUUCUUCACUUCAGAUGAUAUUUCCCUAGGCCCUGCUGAUGCUUACAAACAUGAUCUUUACAAAAAAAUUACCAUGUGCCAGUCUCAGUUUGUUGUGUCUGGUAUACCAGUCAUGCUUGUUUUGUGAUUGUGGAACUCUUGGAUGUUAACUUUGGCAUGGCAAGAUAGCUGAAAAAUUACGCAUGAAUGUCAAGUUGACUGGUUACAAUUAGCCUACAAUCAUUUACUUUGGUGGCACUUUUGGGAUACCUAUCUGAACCUGAUUCAGUUGUGCGCGUGUCAUUAGCACCUUGAUAUGUAGGUUACAGAACUAUAUAUUUUAUCUCAUGUAUUUUGGGCUUUGGAGAAACAAUGAGAGAUUGUGCAUGCACAAGGGAUCUCAAUAGAUGGUGAUUUGCCUGAUUUUAGAGGUGUUUUAGAGGUGAACAAUUAAUGUAUUAUUAAUGUAACUGGCUACGAUUUUUUCUUCUUUUGCUGAUAUUUUGUUGCUUGAUUGACUUUCUAUUGGAUGCGAGGCCUAGUUCGUUUUCAGUUCAGUCUUAUAUGAACCUGUGGGUAGGCAGUUCUUUAGAUGGUCUUUGUACUGAUCUGAUUUCUUCUUCCUUCUUUAAGGAAAAGCAUGGAGCUGGCCUGGAGCUAGGUUGGAGGAAUUGAUCUCUUACUUGUCAUGCCUGCUGCUGAGAAAAAAAGGAUGUCAGGAGUCAAGGACUUGCAUGAAGUGGCCUUGCGCUGGGUAAGAAUUUAUCUACUACUCGUCAUGACUGCUGAAGGUUUUGUGGCUUCCUUUGAAGUUAAAGCUACAGCUUCCUAUACGAGUCAUACGUGACAAGCUUUGAAAGAGACUUCAGUGUUUGUUAAUAGGUGCAACGCUGGCUGGUUUGUAAAGGCUAUACGAAGAUACUCCAUUUUAGAUCGGCAGAGCCUGAAACUCAUUUUCUAGGCAAAAGUUUCCCAC